rnacentral:rRNA from 1 species
CCUACGGGAGGCAGCAGUGAGGAAUAUUGGUCAAUGGACGAGAGUCUGAACCAGCCAAGUAGCGUGAAGGAUGACUGCCCUAUGGGUUGUAAACUUCUUUUAUAUGGGAAUAAACUGUUCCACGUGUGGGAUUUUGUAUGUACCAUAUGAAUAAGGAUCGGCUAACUCCGUGCCAGCAGCCGCGGUAAUACGGAGGAUCCGAGCGUUAUCCGGAUUUAUUGGGUUUAAAGGGAGCGUAGGUGGAUUGUUAAGUCAGUUGUGAAAGUUUGCGGCUCAACCUUAAAAUUGCAGUUGAAACUGGCAGUCUUGAGAACAGUAGAGGUAGGCGGAAUGUGUGGUGUAGCGGUGAAAUGCUUAGAUAUCACGAAGAACUCCGAUUGCGAAGGCAGUUUACUGAGCUGCUACUGACACUGAGGCACGAAAGUGUGGGUAGCAAACAGGAUUAGAUACCCUUGUAGUC